rnacentral:lncRNA from 1 species
CGAGCUCGCCCUGCGGGCCGCAGGCCUAGGCGAGGAGCUGCCCGACAUAGCUGCUGGCGGGGUGGGGGGGGGGGGGCAGGCUGAAGGAUCAGCCUGCGGCGCCAAGCAGCUUGCGCUCCGCCCAGCUACUGGUCAGUGGAUCUCGCCGCGGAAUGCUCCAGCCCGUGUCGCCACCACACCCCGAAGCCAGCCUGCCCGCUGUCCACUCACCGGACUCUGGCCCGUGCUGGAUGGUGGAGGUCGCCAAGUAUGGAGGGAUAAAAUCUCUUCCAGCUAGCUGCCACUUUCUCUCUCUAAUGUCAGCCCAUCUACACAUGGAUGUGAUAAACUUGGCUUUUCCCAGCGAUGCGCGGGCUGCAGGACCUGUCAUAUGGUGCAGCUGUUUCAAGCUGAAGUCCCGUUUCUUCACUCACAGCAGUNNNNNNNNNNNNNNNNNNNNNNNNUCUACGCACCCAAGGUCUGUAGGCUGCCAGCAGCACCAGCGCCAGCCGUGCCCAUGUCUUGCCCCCGUCAGCUACCAGGGCCAGGGUGCCUACUUCGAGUCCCCAUCACGCGCCGCCACCACCACUGCCCACCAGCGCCUUCUUCCUCUAUUUUCUGCCUUUUAA